rnacentral:rRNA from 1 species
AAACUCACGCUAAUACCGCAUACCGCCCGUAACGGGGGAAAGCGGGGGAUCUUCGGACCUCGCGCUAUGAGAUGAGCCUGCGUUAGAUUAGCUAGUUGGUAGGUAAAGGCCUACCAAGGCGACGAUCUAUAGCUGGUCUGAGAGGACGAUCAGCCACACUGGGACUGAGACACGGCCCAGACUCCUACGGGAGGCAGCAGUGGGGAAUAUUGGACAAUGGGCGCAAGCCUGAUCCAGCAAUACCGCGUGUGUGAAGAAGGCCCUAGGGUUGUAAAGCACUUUCAAUUGGGAGGAAAACCUGCCGGUCAAUACCCGGCAGCUCGACAUUACCUUUAGAAGAAGCACCGGCUAACUCCGUG